rnacentral:rRNA from 1 species
GACGAACGCUGGCGGCGUGCCUAAUACAUGCAAGUCGAGCGGACUUUUUAAAAGCUUGCUUUUAAAAAGUUAGCGGCGGACGGGUGAGUAACACGUGGGCAACCUGCCCUAUAGUUUGGGAUAACUCCGGGAAACCGGGGCUAAUACCGGAUAAUACAAACUAGCUCCUGCUAGGUUGUUGAAAGAUGGUUUCGGCUAUCGCUAUAGGAUGGGCCCGCGGCGCAUUAGCUAGUUGGUAGGGUAACGGCCUACCAAGGCGACGAUGCGUAGCCGACCUGAGAGGGUGAUCGGCCACACUGGGACUGAGACACGGCCCAGACUCCUACGGGAGGCAGCAGUAGGGAAUCUUCCACAAUGGACGAAAGUCUGAUGGAGCAACGCCGCGUGAGUGAAGAAGGUUUUCGGAUCGUAAAACUCUGUUGUAAGGGAAGAACAAGUACAGUAGUAACUGGCUGUACCUUGACGGUACCUUAUUAGAAAGCCACGGCUAACUACGUGCCAGCAGCCGCCGUAAAAC